UAGCCUUUCGAAAGAAAGAUUAAUACCCGAUAGCAUAAUGAUUCCGCAUGGUUUCAUUAUUAAAGGAUUCCGGUAAAGGAUGGGGAUGCGUUCCAUUAGGUUGUUGGUGGGGUAACGGCCCACCAAGCCUUCGAUGGAUAGGGGUUCUGAGAGGAAGGUCCCCCACAUUGGAACUGAGACACGGUCCAAACUCCUACGGGAGGCAGCAUG
rnacentral:rRNA from 1 species